AUGAACGCUGGCGGCGUGCCUAAUACAUGCAAGUCGAGCGAACAGACGAGGAGCUUGCUCCUCUGACGUUAGCGGCGGACGGGUGAGUAACACGUGGAUAACCUACCUAUAAGACUGGGAUAACUUCGGGAAACCGGAGCUAAUACCGGAUAAUAUAUUGAACCGCAUGGUUCAAUAGUGAAAGACGGUUUUGCUGUCACUUAUAGAUGGAUCCGCGCCGCAUUAGCUAGUUGGUAGGUAACGGCUUACCAAGGCAACGAUGCGUAGCCGACCUGAGAGGGUGAUCGGCCACACUGGAACUGAGACACGGUCCAGACUCCUACGGGAGGCAGCAGUAGGGAAUCUUCCGCAAUGGGCGAAAGCCUGACGGAGCAACGCCGCGUGAGUGAUGAAGGUCUUCGGAUCGUAAAACUCUGUUAUUAGGGAAGAACAAAUGUGUAAGUAACUAUGCACGCCUUGACGGUACCUAAUCAGAAAGCCACGGCUAACUACGUG
rnacentral:rRNA from 1 species